CCACACCAAACAAAACAAACCAAAAUUAUCAACAACAAAGUGGGAAUUAAUGAAUGAAUUAUGAAUCACAUACACUCCUCGGGGUAUCAGACACGCAUCAGUGUCCAACACCAACACAUACGAUUAUAUUGAACUAUGUCAUUUUCACAAAUUAUUAUCAGUGUCAUGUCAUGUAUCAACAUAUCAGUGUCGUGUCUGGUGUUCCUGUCUGUGCUUCAUAGUGAAUAAAUAAAUGAACGAAUGAAUUACUUUGGAUUUAACAGAACGUUUGAUGAGAGACCAAAGACCAGGAACAGAGAUGACAAAGAGACCGAGAGAAGUAUAAUAACUAGCCAAAGAGUAACCAGCAGUCUCUGUUGUAAGCAAUAAAAGAGAAUUUGGGUUUAGUAGUUGUUGUUGGUGAGUGAUGAAUUCGGCACUUUCGUGAAGGGAUAAGCGAAGUUUCUUUGGCUUUGAAGUUGGAAGGUGUUGUUGUUGGUGGUGCCAUGGUUGUAGUUUGGUGGUGUGAAAUGGAAGAGAGCGGGGAGGGAGUGG
rnacentral:lncRNA from 1 species